rnacentral:rRNA from 2 species
GCUUCCGGAGCUAACGCGUUAAGUCGACCGCCUGGGGAGUACGGCCGCAAGGUUAAAACUCAAAUGAAUUGACGGGGGCCCGCACAAGCGGUGGAGCAUGUGGUUUAAUUCGAUGCAACGCGAAGAACCUUACCUACUCUUGACAUCCACGGAAUUCGGCAGAGAUGCCUUAGUGCCUUCGGGAACCGUGAGACAGGUGCUGCAUGGCUGUCGUCAGCUCGUGUUGUGAAAUGUUGGGUUAAGUCCCGCAACGAGCGCAACCCUUAUCCUUUGUUGCCAGCGAUUCGGUCGGGAACUCAAAGGAGACUGCCGGUGAUAAACCGGAGGAAGGUGGGGAUGACGUCAAGUCAUCAUGGCCCUUACGAGUAGGGCUACACACGUGCUACAAUGGCGCAUACAAAGAGAAGCGACCUCGCGAGAGCAAGCGGACCUCAUAAAGUGCGUCGUAGUCCGGAUCGGAGUCUGCAACUCGACUCCGUGAAGUCGGAAUCGCUAGUAAUCGUGGAUCAGAAUGCCACGGUGAAUACGUUCCCGGGCCUUGUACACACCGCCCGUCACACCAUGGGAGU